GAUGAACGCUAGCGACAGGCCUAACACAUGCAAGUCGAGGGGCAGCAUGAAAUUAGCUUGCUAAUUUUGAUGGCGACCGGCGCACGGGUGAGUAACACGUAUGCAACCUGCCUGUAAGCGGGGGAUAACCCGGAGAAAUCCGGACUAAUACCGCAUAGUAUCACAAUUUCGCAUGUUAUUGUGAUUAAAGAUUAAUUGCUUACAGAUGGGCAUGCGUCUGAUUAGCUAGUUGGCGGGGUAACGGCCCGACCAUGGCGACGAUCAGUAGCCGGUCUGAGAGGAUGAACGGCCACAUUGGGACUGAGAUACGGCCCAGACUCCUACGGGAGGCAGCAGUGGGGAAUAUUGGGCAAUGGGGGAAACCCUGACCCAGCAACGCCGCGUGAAGGAGAAGGCCU
rnacentral:rRNA from 1 species